UCGACGCGAAAGGGGGGCAACCCUUGAGUAGAGUGGCGAACGGGUGAGUAAUGCAUCAGAACGUGUCCAGUAGUGGGGGAUAACCCAUCGAAAGAUGGGCUAAUACCGCAUACGCCCUGAGGGGGAAAGUGGGGGAUCCGCAAGGACCUCACGUUAUUGGAGCGGCCGAUGCCGGAUUAGCUAGUUGGCGGGGUAAAAGCCCACCAAGGCGACGAUCCGUAGCUGGUCUGAGAGGAUGAUCAGCCACACUGGGACUGAGACACGGCCCAGACUCCUACGGGAGGCAGCAGUGGGGAAUUUUGGACAAUGGGGGCAACCCUGAUCCAGCCAUGCCGCGUGAGUGAAGAAGGCCUUCGGGUUGUAAAGCUCUUUCGGCCGGAACGAAAUCGCAUCCUCUAAUACGGGGUGUGGAUGACGGUACCGGAAGAAGAAGCACCGGCUAACUACGUGCCAGCAGCCGCGGUAAUACGUAGGGUGCGAGCGUUAAUCGGAAUUACUGGGCGUAAAGCGUGCGCAGGCGGUUCGCUAAGACAGGUGUGAAAUCCCCGGGCUUAACCUGGGAAUGGCGCUUGUGACUGGCGGGCUUGAGUACGGCAGAGGGAGGUGGAAUUCCACGUGUAG
rnacentral:rRNA from 1 species